GAAAGCUUUUAAGACGCUUGGAAAUGUUUCAAUGAAUUUAAUGGAUCACAGCAAUCCCAGGUGGAAAAGCAGAAUACAGGCAUGCUAAAGAGAAGAGAAUGGAUGAUUCUGUGGUCUGUAAUCAGUCUUCCCAUUAACAUAUUAAUGAAGCAGUAGAGACGAAAAAGGGGAAGAUUUCAUCCUCCAAACAAAGGACUUGUCAUGUCUUAUCAUUACAAUGAAGGCUUUGAAAAUCCAGACUACUACUUCUCAGAGACAUUGGAAAUUGAUAGAAGGGGAAGUUCUCAAAACAAUCCCUUCUCUCACCAAACCCCUGAUGAUCCUUCACUUCAUGGUUCCUAUGGAGAGCGCAGUGGAAGAGAGCAGAACAACCCUGUGGCCAUACCAAUGGGCUCCAUGAGACCUGGCUCUGAAUACAGAGAGGAUUUACCAAGCAGGAGUCCAAAUGGAAAUUUCACAGACAAUCUUUCCUUUGAGCCUGAGCCAGACCUGCCAUACACCCCAGCUUCUACCUUCCAUCAGCUGGAUUAUCCCUAUACCCACAGAAUUUCCAGUGGAUCGGAAGGUAAGGGUUGUGUUUAAAUAAUUGGAUGAAGGAAGGUGGAGAGAGCAGCUGCAUUUUGGUCCCAGGGAAAUGGGAGUCUGGUACAUGUAACAUACUCAGCCUGAUUGAGUGUGAUUCUAAAACAAUCCCCCUGAAGUCAGUUGAAAGAUUUUUAAAGAAAGGCCCUGUCUCUAG
rnacentral:lncRNA from 1 species